rnacentral:rRNA from 1 species
GACGAACGCUGGCGGCGUGCUUAACACAUGCAAGUCGAACGAUGAAAGCGGAGCUUGCUCCGCUGGAUUAGUGGCGAACGGGUGAGUAACACGUGGGCAACCUGCCCCAGACUCUGGGAUAACUCCUCGAAAGAGGUGCUAAUACCGGAUACGAACUCCUUGGGCAUCCUUGGAGUUGGAAAGUUCUUCGGUCUGGGAUGGGCCCGCGGCCUAUCAGCUUGUUGGUGGGGUAGUGGCCCACCAAGGCGACGACGGGUAGCCGGCCUGAGAGGGCGACCGGCCACACCGGGACUGAGACACGGCCCAGACUCCUACGGGAGGCAGCAGUGGGGAAUAUUGCGCAAUGGGCGAAAGCCUGACGCAGCGACGCCGCGUGAGGGAUGACGGCCUUCGGGUUGUAAACCUCUUUCAGCAGGGAAGAAGCGAAAGUGACGGUACCUGCAGAAGAAGCACCGGCUAACUACGUGCCAGCAGCAGCCGCCG